rnacentral:rRNA from 1 species
GUUUGAUCCUGGCUCAGGACGAACGCUGGCGGCGUGCCUAAUACAUGCAAGUAGAACGCUGAAGAGAGGAGCUUGCUCUUCUUGGAUGAGUUGCGAACGGGUGAGUAACGCGUAGGUAACCUGCCUUGUAGCGGGGGAUAACUAUUGGAAACGAUAGCUAAUACCGCAUAACAAUGGAUGACACAUGUCAUUUAUUUGAAAGGGGCAAUUGCUCCACUACAAGAUGGACCUGCGUUGUAUUAGCUAGUAGGUGAGGUAAUGGCUCACCUAGGCGACGAUACAUAGCCGACCUGAGAGGGUGAUCGGCCACACUGGGACUGAGACACGGCCCAGACUCCUACGGGAGGCAGCAGUAGGGAAUCUUCGGCAAUGGGGGCAACCCUGACCGAGCAACGCCGCGUGAGUGAAGAAGGUUUUCGGAUCGUAAAGCUCUGUUGUAAGUCAAGAACGGGUGUGAGAGUGGAAAGUUCACACUGUGACGGUAGCUUACCAGAAAGGGACGGCUAACUACGUGCCAGCAGCCGCGGUAAUACGUAGGUCCCGAGCGUUGUCCGGAUUUAUUGGGCGUAAAGCGAACGCAGGCGGUUUGAUAAGUCUGAAGUUAAAGGCUGUGGCUCAACCAUAGUUCGCUUUGGAAACUGUCAAACUUGAGUGCAGAAGGGGAGAGUGGAAUUCCAUGUGUAGCGGUGAAAUGCGUAGAUAUAUGGAGGAACACCGGUGGCGAAAGCGGCUCUCUGGUCUGUAACUGACGCUGAGGCUCGAAAGCGUGGGGAGCGAACAGGAUUAGAUACCCUGGUAGUCCACGCCGUAAACGAUGAGUGCUAGGUGUUGGAUCCUUUCCGGGAUUCAGUGCCGCACUAACGCAUUAAGCACUCCGCCUGGGGAGUACGACCGCAAGGUUGAAACUCAAAGGAAUUGACGGGGGCCCGCACAAGCGGUGGAGCAUGUGGUUUAAUUCGAAGCAACGCGAAGAACCUUACCAGGUCUUGACAUCCCGAUGCUAUUUCUAGAGAUAGAAAGUUACUUCGGUACAUCGGUGACAGGUGGUGCAUGGUUGUCGUCAGCUCGUGUCGUGAGAUGUUGGGUUAAGUCCCGCAACGAGCGCAACCCCUAUUGUUAGUUGCCAUCAUUCAGUUGGGCACUCUAGCGAGACAGCCGGUAAUAAACCGGAGGAAGGUGGGGAUGACGUCAAAUCAUCAUGCCCCUUAUGACCUGGGCUACACACGUGCUACAAUGGUUGGUACAACGAGUUGCGAGUCGGUGACGGCGAGCUAAUCUCUUAAAGCCAAUCUCAGUUCGGAUUGUAGGCUGCAACUCGCCUACAUGAAGUCGGAAUCGCUAGUAAUCGCGGAUCAGCACGCCGCGGUGAAUACGUUCCCGGGCCUUGUACACACCGCCCGUCACACCACGAGAGUUUGUAACACCCGAAGUCGGUGAGGUAACCUUUUGGAGCCAGCCGCCUAAGGUGGGACAGAUGAUUGGGGUGAAGUCGUAACAAGGUA